CCCGACGCGCCGCAGGGAGCCGCGCAGCAGGCGGGCCUUGGGCUUCACCUCCACCGGGAUCUCGCAGGCCUCGCCGCCGCCGUACUGUUAUCAAUGGGUAAUGAACAAAAUCUAUCAACGUGAGGAUCUGUCCUGUGGAGGUUCACCAUUCAUACGUUGCUGUUCUCUUCUUGCAGAUACAGAGGUGAUCAUUCUUAAAACAGAUGCUUUCUUCAU